UUGAAAAUGGUGCAGGAAGAGUUCUAUAUAGGUUUAAUAGCUGGCUUGUGGCAGCCAAGCGUUCAUAGCGACGUUGCUUUUGAUCCUUCGAUGUCGGCUCUUCCUAUCAUACUGAAGCAGAAUUCAGUAAGCGUUGGAUUGUUCACCCACUAAUAGGGAAUGUGAGCUGGGUUUAGACCGUCGUGAGGCAGGUUAGUUUUACCCUAUUGAUGAAAUGUUGUUGCAAUAGUAAUUGAACUUAGUACGAGAGGAACCGUUCAUUCGGAUAAUUGUUACUUGGACCUGCCUGAGCUGGCAAUGGCCCGAAGCUAUUAUCCAUUGGGUUAUGGCUGAAUGCCCCCAAGUCCGAACCCGUGCUAGAACGCGAAGAUUACCGUCUUUCGAUUUUUUUUUUAGUUGAAUAUGAAUAGACCUUCGGCUCCAAGAUCAUACUACAUGGGGUUAUGUUUUAGGGCUGAAGGCAUUAUGAUGUUCCUGCUAAAACUUUAUUCACGAAUAUCCCUUCCUCCGUACUUUAAUUCGAGACAAUAUUGUGUCGAAAAAUUUUGUGUGCUGGGCUCAUGCACUUCCAUAUGAUAACUUGCAAAAAGGGAAGCUAACUUAGUUCAAGGUCCAUUUUUCAUCCACAAA
rnacentral:ncRNA from 1 species